CCUACGGGAGGCAGCAGUAGGGAAUAUUGCUCAAUGGGGGAAACUCUGAAGCAGCAACGCCGCGUGGAGGAUGAAGGUUCUCGGAUUGGAAACUCCUUUUGUGAGAGAAGAUAAUGACGGUAUCUAACGAAUAAGCACCGGCUAACUCCGUGCCAGCAGCCGCGGUAAUACGGAGGGGUCAAGCGUUACUCGGAAUCACUGGGUGUAAAGAGCGCGUAGGCGGGAUAGCAAGUCAGAUGUGAAAUCCUAUGGCUUAACCAUAGAACUGCAUUUGAAACUGUUAUUCUAGAGUAUGGGAGAGGUAGGUGGAAUUCUUGGUGUAGGGGUGAAAUCCGUAGAGAUCAAGAGGAAUACUCAUUGCGAAGGCGACCUGCUAGAACAUAACUGACGCUGAUGCGCGAAAGCGUGGGGAGCAAACAGGAUUAGAUACCCUAGUAGUC
rnacentral:rRNA from 1 species